rnacentral:rRNA from 1 species
GAGUUUGAUCUUGGCUCAGAGUGAACGCUGGCGGUAGGCCUAACACAUGCAAGUCGAACGGCAGCACAGUAAGAGCUUGCUCUUAUGGGUGGCGAGUGGCGGACGGGUGAGGAAUACAUCGGAAUCUACUUUUUCGUGGGGGAUAACGUAGGGAAACUUACGCUAAUACCGCAUACGACCUACGGGUGAAAGCAGGGGAUCUUCGGACCUUGCGCGAUUGAAUGAGCCGAUGUCGGAUUAGCUAGUUGGCGGGGUAAAGGCCCACCAAGGCGACGAUCCGUAGCUGGUCUGAGAGGAUGAUCAGCCACACUGGAACUGAGACACGGUCCAGACUCCUACGGGAGGCAGCAGUGGGGAAUAUUGGACAAUGGGCGCAAGCCUGAUCCAGCCAUACCGCGUGGGUGAAGAAGGCCUUCGGUUGUAAGCCCUUUGUUGGGUAAGGAAAUCCAGCCGGCUAAUACCU